rnacentral:piRNA from 1 species
UGUUGUUUCUCUUUGGGCAUCAGCUGG